AUGGAAGCUCUGGCUCUUAGCUGUCGUCGUCUUCUCCUUCAUCCCGAUCUCUUCAGUCCCAAACGUCGCAGGAACCCUAGGGACCGUCCCUAACUACAGUUUCCAAAUAAUUUACCACUGCAUCCCUUCCGUUUUCUGGAUUAAAACCUCCUCUAUUUCUCCCGACAAAAACGUUCGAUUAAUUUCCGAUGCGGUUUGCAAUUUCGUAACUCUGAUUGGUACGGAGUUUUAGUUAUUAAGGUUUUCAGAAUAUGUGGAACCCAUAAUGAAGACAGGAAGAACGGAGGUUCCAACGUAUACAAAGUAGAAAUAGUCCACAAGUGCGACUCUACCAUGCCCUUUUUAACAGAGGCUGAACGGGUACAGAUUGUCGAGAGCUGUUGAGAGAGGGCUAAGAUUGGGCUAAAUGGAUCUGGGGGAUAGAUGAGUACAGGUUUUCCCAUAGCGUUCCUUCCCUAGAAAUUGUAGACUGCCUCUGCACCAUGUGAGAUUAUGGCUGUUUGGAUGGAUUUUCAUAAGUCUCGUAUAGAUAAAGCUAUUUGUGUGGUCGUGUAAAUUGCGAAAGUUUUUUUGGGAGGAUUUUUCAUAUAUGGAAGGAGGUGUGG